UACAGAGGUCUCAAGCGUUGUUCGGAUUCAUUGGGCGUAAAGGGUGCGUAGGUGGCGGGGUAAGUCUGGUGUGAAAUCCUGGGGCUCAACCCCGGAACUGCACUGGAUACUGCUUUGCUAGAGUACUGGAGAGGGAACUGGAAUUUACGGUGUAGCAGUGAAAUGCGUAGAUAUCGUAAGGAAGACCAGUGGCGAAGGCGGUCUCCUGGAGCAUUCUUGACGCUGAGGCGCGAAAGCUGGGGGAGCGAACGGG
rnacentral:rRNA from 1 species